UGAGCAACCUACCGAAAUGUGGGGGAUAGCCGGCCUAACGGCCGAGUAAUACCGCAUACGCUCUCGAUGAGGCAUUUCAUUGAGAGGAAACCUACGGGACAUUUCGAGGGGCUCGCGGCCUAUCAGCUAGUUGGCGAGGUAACGGCUCACCAAGGCGACGACGGGUAGCCGGCCUGAGAGGGUGACCGGCCACACUGGGACUGAGACACGGCCCAGACUCCGUACGGGAGGCAGNAGGU
rnacentral:rRNA from 1 species